rnacentral:rRNA from 1 species
AGUCGACGAGAAGCCGCCUUCGGGUGGUGGAGAGUGGCGCACGGGUGAGUAACGCGUGGGAAUUUGCCUUUCGGUACGGGAUAACGCCUGGAAACGACUGCUAAUACCGCAUAAUGUCUACGGACCAGAGGGGGGGCUCUUCGGACCUCUUGCCUAAAGAUUAGCCCAAGUGAGAUUAGCUAGUUGGUGGGGUAAAGGCCUACCAAGGCGACGAUCUCUAGCUGGUUUGAGAGGAUGAUCAGCCACACUGGGACUGAGACACGGCCCAGACUCCUACGGGAGGCAGCAGUGGGGAAUAUUGCACAAUGGGGGGAACCCUGAUGCAGCCAUGCCGCGUGUGUGAAGAAGGCCUUCGGGUUGUAAAGCACUUUCAGUUGUGAGGAAAGGGAUGUAGUUAAUACCUGCAUUCUGUGACGUUAGCAACAGAAGAAGCACCGGCUAACUCCGUGCCAGCAGCCGCGGUAAUACGGAGGGUGCGAGCGUUAAUCGGAAUUACUGGGCGUAAAGCGUGCGUAGGCGGUUAUAUAAGCUAGAUGUGAAAGCCCGGGGCUUAACCUCGGAACUGCAUUUAGAACUGUAUGACUAGAGUUUUGUAGAGGGUGGUGGAAUUUCCAGUGUAGCGGUGAAAUGCGUAGAGAUUGGAAGGAACAUCAGUGGCGAAGGCGGCCACCUGGACAAAACUGACGCUGAGGCACGAAAGCGUGGGUAGCAAACAGGAUUAGAUACCCGGUA